rnacentral:rRNA from 1 species
GAUGAACGCUGGCGGCGUGCCUAAUACAUGCAAGUCGAGCGGUAACACUUCGGGUGACGAGCGGCGGACGGCUGAGUAACGCGUGGGAAUGUACCCCAAAGUGAGGGAUAACUGCUCGAAAGAGUAGCUAAUACCGCAUGUGGUCUACGGAUUAAAGCUUCGGCGCUUUGGGAACAGCCUGCGUAUGAUUAGUUUGUUGGUGAGGUAACGGCUCACCAAGACGACGAUCAUUAGCUGGUCUGAGAGGAUGAUCAGCCAGACUGGGACUGAGAACGGCCCAGACUCCUACGGGAGGCAGCAGUAGGGAAUUUUCCACAAUGGACGAAAGUCUGAUGGAGCAACGCCGCGUGCAGGAUGAAUGCCUUCGGGUUGUAAACUGCUUUUAUAUGUGACGAUUGUGACGGUAGCAUAUGAAUAAGGAUCGGCUAAUUCCGUGCCAGCAGCCGCGGUAACAC